AGCGUAGGCGGACAUUUAAGUCAGGGGUGAAAUCCCGGGGCUCAACCUCGGAAUUGCCUUUGAUACUGGGUGUCUUGAGUAUGAGAGAGGUGUGUGGAACUCCGAGUGUAGAGGUGAAAUUCGUAGAUAUUCGGAAGAACACCAGUGCGAAGGCGACACACUGGCUCAUUACUGACGCUGAGGCUCGAAAGCGUGGGGAGCAAACA
rnacentral:rRNA from 1 species